UGCAAGUCGAGCGGUAGAGAGAAGCUUGCUUCUCUUGAGAGCGGCGGACGGGUGAGUAAUGCCUAGGAAUCUGCCUGGUAGUGGGGGAUAACGUUCGGAAACGGACGCUAAUACCGCAUACGUCCUACGGGAGAAAGCAGGGGACCUUCGGGCCUUGCGCUAUCAGAUGAGCCUAGGUCGGAUUAGCUAGUUGGUGAGGUAAUGGCUCACCAAGGCGACGAUCCGUAACUGGUCUGAGAGGAUGAUCAGUCACACUGGAACUGAGACACGGUCCAGACUCCUACGGGAGGCAGCGGUGGGGAAUAUUGGACAAUGGGCGAAAGCCUGAUCCAGCCAUGCCGCGUGUGUGAAGAAGGUCUUCGGAUUGUAAAGCACUUUAAGUUGGGAGGAAGGGCAGUUGCCUAAUACGUAACUGUUUUGACGUUACCGACAGAAUAAGCACCGGCUAAUUCUGUGCCAGCAGCCGCGGUAAUACAGAGGGUGCAAGCGUUAAUCGGAAUUACUGGGCGUAAAGCGCGCGUAGGUGGUUUGUUAAGUUGGAUGUGAAAUCCCCGGGCUCAACCUGGGAACUGCAUUCAAAACUGACUGACUAGAGUAUGGUAGAGGGUGGUGGAAUUUCCUGUGUAGCGGUGAAAUGCGUAGAUAUAGGAAGGAACACCAGUGGCGAAGGCGACCACCUGGACUAAUACUGACACUGAGGUGCGAAAGCGUGGGGAGCAAACAGGAUUAGAUACCCUGGUAGUCCACGCCGUAAACGAUGUCAACUAG
rnacentral:rRNA from 1 species